AAGGUGUCUAUCCAAAAUACAAACACUGUCAUCUGUCCAAAAUGCACACAUAUAGCUCCUGUCCAAAAUGCACACAUCACUUCUUCUUCCCAGUAGUUGCCUUACCCUUUCCUUCAGGUGCCUUAGCCUUAGCAGCGCCUGCCUUACCCUUUCCUUCAGGUGCCUUAGCCUUUGCAGCAGCUGCCUUGCUCUUUUUUACAGUUGCCCUCCUCUUCUUUGCACCAGCUACAAGAUUAACAGUAGCAGUGGUAGCUCUUGCUGUAGGCAAAGCAUCUCUGUUCCU
rnacentral:lncRNA from 1 species